UGGUGCCAUAGAGCUCUCAAGAGAUUAUGACUUCGGCUGCCACAGCGCGUAGAGAAAGACCAUAGACUCUCCAGUGAGGAUGUGUGUUCAGAGGUAGCCUCUCCCGCCUCGCGCUUUGGGCACCCGCAGUUUUUCAGCUGCCUCCUGGAGUUUACAGCAGCAAGCUGCUUUUUUCAAAGGGUCUGUGAAUUCUUUUGGUUUUCAUGCUGGCAGAGUUAUACAAUCUGCUGAGCGUCAGGAACACAAGCUGCUGAGCAUCGGGGAUACAAGUGGCUGAGCGUCAAGCACAGAAGCAGCAACUGAACAUCAGAGACUAAGGAUAGACAUGGCUAACUUCAGAUGGUGUGGCUUCAGGGAAACAUCACCUUCUUCCUGCACUACCUCCUUUCCAAUUCCCCAUCCCACUGAGAGCCACGCUUAUUGCCCAAUAAAAUCCUCCGUGUAUACUACCCUUCAA